UACGAAGGGGGCUAGCGUUGCUCGGAAUUACUGGGCGUAAAGGGAGCGUAGGCGGACAGUUUAGUCAGAGGUGAAAGCCCAGGGCUCAACCUUGGAAUUGCCUUUGAUACUGACUGUCUUGAGUAUGGGAGAGGUAUGCGGAACUCCGAGUGUAGAGGUGAAAUUCGUAGAUAUUCGGAAGAACACCAGCGGCGAAAGCGCGUAACUGGGCCUGAACUGACACUGAGGGACGAAAGCUAGGGGAGCGAAAGGG
rnacentral:rRNA from 1 species